CCUACGGGUGGCAGCAGUGAGGAAUAUUGGUCAAUGGGCUUACGCCUGAACCAGCCCAGUCGCGUGAGGGAAGACUUCCCUAUGGGUUGUAAACCUCUUUUGUCAGGGAGCAAUUGGCGCUACGUGUAGCGUUAUCGAGAGUACCUGAAGAAAAAGCAUCGGCUAACUCCGUGCCAGCAGCCGCGGUAAUACGGAGGAUGCGAUCGUUAUCCGGAUUUAUUUGGUUUAAAGGGUGCGUAGGUGGAAUGCCAAGUCAGCGGUAAAAUCGCGGGGCUCAACCUCGCUCCGCCGUUGAAACUGGCGUUCUUGAGUGGGCGAGAAGUAUGCGGAAUGCGUGGUGUAGCGGUGAAAUGCAUAGAUAUCACGCAGAACUCCGAUUGCGAAGGCAGCUUACUAAACUGCCACUGACAUUGAUGCUCGAAAGUGUGGGUAUCAAACAGGAUUAGAUACCCCUGUAGUC
rnacentral:rRNA from 1 species